rnacentral:rRNA from 1 species
UCUAAUACCGAAUACACCCUGCUGGUCGCAUGGCCUGGUGGGGGAAAGCUUUUGCGGUGUGGGAUGGGCCCGCGGCCUAUCAGCUUGUUGGUGGGGUGAUGGCCUACCAAGGCGACGACGGGUAGCCGGCCUGAGAGGGUGUCCGGCCACACUGGGACUGAGAUACGGCCCAGACUCCUACGGGAGGCAGCAGUGGGGAAUAUUGCACAAUGGGCGCAAGCCUGAUGCAGCGACGCCGCGUGAGGGAUGACGGCCUUCGGGUUGUAAACCUCUUUCAAUAGGGACGAAGCGUAAGUGACGGUACCUAUAGAAGAAGCACCGGCCAACUACGUGCCAGCAGCCGCGGUAAUACGUAGGGUGCGAGCGUUGUCCGGAAUUACUGGGCGUAAAGAGCUCGUAGGUGGUUUGUCGCGUUGUUCGUGAAAACUCACAGCUUAACUGUGGGCGUGCGGGCGAUACGGGCAGACUUGAGUACUGCAGGGGAGACUGGAAUUCCUGGUGUAGCGGUGGAAUGCGCAGAUAUCAGGAGGAACACCGGUGGCGAAGGCGGGUCUCUGGGCAGUAACUGACGCUGAGGAGCGAAAGCGUGGGGAGCGAACAGGAUUAGAUACCCUGGUAGUCCACGCCGUAAACGGUGGGUACUAGGUGUGGGUUUCCUUCCUUGGGAUCCGUGCCGUAGCUAACGCAUUAAGUACCCCGCCUGGGGAGUACGGCCGCAAGGCUAAAACUCAAAGAAAUUGACGGGGGCCCGCACAAGCGGCGGAGCAUGUGGAUUAAUUCGAUGCAACGCGAAGAACCUUACCUGGGUUU